GAUGAACGCUGGCGGUAUGCCUAACACAUGCAAGUCGUACGAGAGUUUUUAACUCUAGUGGCGGACGGGUGAGUAACACGUGAGAAUUUACCUUUAGGAGGGGGAUAACAAUUGGAAACGAAUGCUAAUACCCCAUAUGCUUUUGAGUGAAAUGGAUUUAUAAUUGUCUGCCUAAAGAAAAGCUCGCGGCUGAUUAGCUUGUUGGUAAGGUAAGAGCUUACCAAGGCGACGAUCAGUAUCUGGUUUGAGAGGACGAUCAGACACACUGGAACUGAGACACGGUCCAGACUCCUACGGGAGGCAGCAGUGGGGAAUUUUCCGCAAUGGGCGAAAGCCUGACGGAGCAAUACCGCGUGAGGGAAGAAUGCCUAUGGGUUGUAAAGCACUUUCAGCGAGGAGGAAAGGUUGAUGCCUAAUACGCAUCAGCUGUGACGUUACUCGCAGAAGAAGCACCGGCUAACUCCGUGCCAGCAGCCGCGGU
rnacentral:rRNA from 1 species